UACGGAGGGUGCAAGCGUUAUCCGGAUUCACUGGGUUUAAAGGGUGCGUAGGUGGGUUGGUAAGUCAGUGGUGAAAUCUCCGUGCUUAACAUGGAAACUGCCAUUGAUACUAUGUUUCUUGAAUUUUCUGGAGGUCAGCGGAAUAUGUCAUGUAGCGGUGAAAUGCUUAGAUAUGACAUAGAACACCAAUUGCGAAGGCAGCUGACUACAGGGAUAUUGACACUGAGGCACGAAAGCGUGGGGAUCAAACAGG
rnacentral:rRNA from 1 species